CAUAUGCGUGAUAAAUGUAUUAAAUGCACGUGAAUAAUCCAAUUUAUUGACAAUUAAUGGAUCAUAUUCAAUGCAUGUGGAAUAUCACUUCAAAAGAACUCAGACCAUGAAAAGCAAACACAUCUCCUCUCUCUCACCUUAGUUCACCAUCUCCGCCGCGCCACAGGCUCCCUCGGCGGCGAAGAUUUCCAUAAAUAAAAAUUCUAACAAUCAAACUCUUCCUCUCAAUAUCCUCUACACAGAUUCUGUCUCAAUUUCUACUAAUUCGAACCCUAAUGUCUAAACUGAAGUGUUUACCUCAAGAACCCUAAAUCAUAAAUCAUAAAUUAAAUCUCAAUAAAGCCCAAUCUCGAUCCAUAGCCAUAGGUUUAAUUCUCCUCCGCCUCUAAACAAUCAUCUGGUAAUGACAAUUGAAGCGAAUCAGAAGGUUUAAUGAACUUACUUGAGCGACUUAAGGACGUAGAUGCAAUAAGAAUUACACUUCCAACCACAUAAGAUAUGGAAACAUGAAGGAAUGAUGGAACAAGGCAUGAGAAAAGGGGACUUGCACUUGAAGAAAGAUGGUGAGGUUUUGGAUCAUGGCAAGACCAAGUGAAACAUUCAAGUGAAAAAUGGACAUUAGGUUUUAGGAUGGUCAAAGUGCAUUAGUUGACUUUGGUCAAUUGGUUGACCAAAAAGUCAAUAGUUGACCAAAAGUCAACUUAGGUAAAAAUGUGUAUUUUUGUGUAAUCUAUUAUGGACAAUUGUGAUGUAAUUGUAAUGAUAUGUAAUGAUACUUUAUGAUGAAAUGAAUGGUAUUGACAUGUUUUGAAAUGAA